GACGAACGCUGGCGGCGUGCUUAACACAUGCAAGUCGAACGGUGACGAGGAGCUUGCUCCUCUGAUCAGUGGCGAACGGGUGAGUAACACGUGAGCAACCUGCCCCAGACUCUGGGAUAACAGUUGGAAACAGCUGCUAAUACCGGAUACGAGACGGAGAGGCAUCUCUACCGUCUGGAAAGUUUUUCGGUCUGGGAUGGACUCGCGGCCUAUCAGCUAGUUGGUGAGGUAAUGGCUCACCAAGGCGACGACGGGUAGCCGGCCUGAGAGGGCGACCGGCCACACUGGGACUGAGACACGGCCCAGACUCCUACGGGAGGCAGCAGUGGGGAAUAUUGCACAAUGGGCGAAAGCCUGAUGCAGCGACGCCGCGUGAGGGAUGACGGCCUUCGGGUUGUAACCUCUUUCAGCAGGAAGAAGACGAAAGUGACGGUACCUGCAGAAGAAGACGACCGGCUAACUACGUGCCAGCAGCCGACGGUAAAGUGU
rnacentral:rRNA from 1 species